rnacentral:rRNA from 1 species
CCUACGGGUGGCAGCAGUGAGGAAUAUUGGUCAAUGGGCGCGAGCCUGAACCAGCCAAGUCACGUGAGGGAAGACGGUCCUAUGGAUUGUAAACCUCUUUUGUCGGGGAGCAAAAGACGCCACGUGUAGCGUUAUCGAGAGUACCUGAAGAAAAAGCAUCGGCUAACUCCGUGCCAGCAGCCGCGGUAAUACGGAGGAUGCGAGCGUUAUCCGGAUUUAUUGGGUUUAAAGGGUGCGUAGGCGGAAUGCCAAGUCAGCGGUAAAAUCGCGGGGCUCAACCUCGCUCCGCCGUUGAAACUGGCGUUCUUGAGUGGGCGAGAAGUAUGCGGAAUGCGUGGUGUAGCGGUGAAAUGCAUAGAUAUCACGCAGAACUCCGAUUGCGAAGGCAGCAUACCGGCGCCCAACUGACGCUGAAGCACGAAAGCGUGGGUAUCGAACAGGAUUAGAUACCCCGUGUAGUC